UACGUAGGGUGCAAGCGUUGUCCGGAAUUAUUGGGCGUAAAGAGCUCGUAGGCGGUUUGUCGCGUCUGCUGUGAAAACUCGGGGCUUAACUCCGGGCCUGCAGUGGGUACGGGCAGACUAGAGUGCGGUAGGGGAGACUGGAAUUCCUGGUGUAGCGGUGAAAUGCGUAGAUAUCAGGAGGAGUACCGAUGGCGAAGGCAGGUCUCUGGGCUGACACUGACGCUCAUGCACGAAAGCGUGGGGAGCAAACAGG
rnacentral:rRNA from 1 species